CCUGUUAAGUGAAUUCCGGUGCGUUACCAGGUGCUGCGGUGUUGCCAUCCAGUUUGUCUCAAAUAUUCACGUUUUAUGAGGUAAAAAAGGGCUGAGAUGGGCUCCAGACCGAGUCUGAGUUGCAGUGUGACAGCAGUCUUGCUGCUUAAUCUGGAGAGGCAUUAUUAGUCUGGUUUGUUCUAUGGAAAUACAUUUAAUGUUCUUGCAGCUAUGUUUUAAUGUGUUAGAGGUAUUUUUAAUGAUGCAGUGUUGGUUUGUCAGUCUGAUUUUCGGAUGUAGGGAAAAAAGUAUGAACUUAAAUUGCUGUAUAUCAAGCUGAAGUCUCAUGUUCCAGCUAAGAGUGUCUGACACGAUCCAUUACCCUUUGUCACAUCUCAGCAAUUCUUCCCGAACUCUGCCCUGGUGGCUGUCUACCCCCAGCUGGUUGGCUGAUUGAUUGAUUAAUUGAUUGAAGAGUGCUAGCAGGAAUAGUGCAGCUUCUUUAUUACGCUGAGAUAAAGGGAAGAUGACUACUUGUGUCCAUACUUAAAGCUACUAAGUGCCUUAUAGUUGGAUUGUAUCAUGAUACUGUUAGCGAUGUUUGCUGUUUCUUCAUACUUGCCUUGAAAGCAGCCCAUUAUGGUCAAGUUAUCUACUUUUGAAAAGCCUUUGGUAUAUGUGUGCUUCCUAGAAUAUGUCAGGAAAAUACUGUCAAGAUGUUUCCUGCUUUGGGAAUUUUGUGUCUUUGAAGAACUGGUUUUGUGACGGCUUUUGGCCAACGGCUAUCAAAAAUGCAAGUAAACAAGCUGCAACUCCUUUAUGCUUGCUGUUUUUCAAGAGCUGGAGAGAAAGAUUAGUAAGGACAAGAAACAGGUCAACAGAUUUGUGA
ensembl:lncRNA